AUGAGUAGGAAGUCAAGCAAAGGAGGCAGGAGACCUGCACGGAUGAGCAAGGAGCUCCUGGCAAAACUCAACCAGAAGGAGGAAGUAUACAGAAAGUGGAAAGGGGGACAGGCCACUUGGGAGAAUUAUAGAAACAUUGUCAGAGUAUGCAGGGAUGUGACGAGGAAGGCUAAGGCCCGUUUGGAAUUAAAUCUGGCAAGAGAUGUCAAGGACAGCAAGAAGGGCUUCUUCAAAUACAUCAGUAGCAAGAGGAAGACUAGGGAAAAUGUGGGCCCUUUGCUGAAUGGGGUGAGUGCGCUGGUGACGAAGGAUGCAGAGAAGGCAGAGUUACUGAAUGCCUUCUUUGCUUCAGUCUUUACUGCUCAGGCCAGCCCUCAGGAAUCCCAGACCCUGGAGACAAGAGAGAAAGUCUGGAGAAAGGAAGACUUUCCCUUGGUGGAGGAGGAGUGGGUUAGAGAUCAUUUAAGCAAAUUUGACACCCACAAAUCCAUGGGCCCUGAUGGGAUGCACCCACGAGUGCUGAGGGAGCUGGCGGAUGUCAUUGCUAAGCCACUCUCCAUCAUCUCUGAAAGGUCAUGGAGGACAGGAGAGGUGCCUGAGGACUGGAAGAAAGCCAAUGUCACCCCAGUCUUCAAAAAGGGCAAGAAGGAGGACCCAGGGAACUACAGGCCAGUCAGCCUCGCCUCCAUCCCUGGAAAGGUGAUGGAGCAGCUCAUCCUGGAGGCCAUCUCCAAGCAUGUGGAGGACAAGAAGGUGAUCAGGAGCAGUCAGCAUGGCUUCACCAAGGGGAAAUCAUGCYUAACCAAUCUGAUAGCCUUCUAUGAUGGAAUGACUGGCUGGGUAGAUGAGGGGAGAGCAGUGGAUGUUGCCUCCCUUGACUUCAGCAAGGCUUUUGACACUGUCUCCCAUAACAUCCUCGUAGAAAAGCUCAGGAAGUGUGGGUUAGAUGAGUGGACAGUGAGGUGGAUUGAGAACUGGCUGAAUGGCAGAGCUCAGAGAGUUGUGAUCAGUGCUAGUUGGAGGCCUGUAGCUAGCGGUGUCCCCCGGGGGUCAGUACUGGGUCCAGUCUUGUUCAACUUCUUCAUCAAUGACCUGGAUGAAGGGACAGAGUGCACCCUCAGCAAGUUUGCUGAUGAUGCAAAGCUGGGAGGAGUGGCCGAUACACCGGAGGGCUGUGCUGCCAUUCAGAGAGACUUGGACAGGCUGGAGAGUUGA
rnacentral:lncRNA from 1 species